GCUUAGGCCGUUUUUAGUAAUUCUGUUGUACAGGAAGUGUGGUAUCAGCAUUUGCUUCUGGUGAGGGCCUCAGGAACCUUACAAUCAUGGCGAAAGGUAAGGGGGAGUAGGCGCAUCACAUGGCAAGGUGGGCGGGGGAGGUGCCACAUUUUUUUAAACAACCAGCAUUCAUGGGAACUGCCAGAGCAAGAACUCACCCUUUACCAUGGGAAUGGUAUCAAGCCAUUCAAGAGGGAUCUGCCCCGAUAACCCAAACAUCUCUCACCAGGCCCCACCUCCAACAUUGGGGAUUACAUUUCAACAUGAGAUUUGGAGGGGCAAACAUCCAAACUAUACCAUGAGACUUUCUCUUUAAGAAGAAAUCGACCACUAGAAACACCAGCUGAAUUCAUGUUUAAUACUUACGUUGCCUCUUCAUGCAAGUAUUUAGAAAAAUAUGGGUCUCACAUAACUUGAGAUGAUGACCCUGAGUUACAAUGGUCAAAAUGGGGUGCCUUGGAAAUACCUAAACUAGUUUAUCUGCAUGCUCAAUUGGAAAAACCCAGCUCUAAAAUAAAACAAAAUAACUGGGAGAGCUAUUUUCAAUGGAAAGUAGAAACUUUUUUAGAAGCUUCUAAAUAAGUUUCUAGUAAAGGCAUUUGUUUGCAAGUGGAAAACAAAGGAUUGUCUAAAACAAUUUCUAAAUUGAAAAAGACUGCUGAAAUUUCUCCCCCUUUUUCAACUCUUCCUUCCCUUUUGUUGGAACAUCCUUGUCUGGACUUUACCUCCCCUUCCUCUUCCUCCUCUUUCUCCUGCUGUUCUGGUUCCAUUUUGGGAACACCCUCUGUCCAGUACAGAAGAAACUGCCUUGGUUUAUCAACUAUGGUAAAAAUAGAACUUAAAGGGAUAACUAAAGAAUUCCCAGAUCCUUUUCAGAACUCUGUUGGAUUUGCUAGAGGUUUUGAAUUAAACAUUUGAGCUUAUGAUCCAGGAAUUUCUGAUUUAUAUCAACAGGUUCACAUUUUAGUGUCAGAAAAUAAAGCCAAAGAUUGGAUAGCAAAGGCAAACUGGAGAAAUCUUUUAAAGGACUUCCAUAAUUUUUUUGAAGCCGAUAGCAAAUGUGCUCACAAUACUGUCAAAGCUUUAGUUGACUCUAUCCCCUUAGUUUUCCAAAAAGUGGUUGAUUGGAACAAAAUACAACACGCUGAAAAAAUCCUGUUGAUCACAUAAUGUCAUACUACGGGAAAUUUGAAAGAAUGUUUAAACAAUAUUCAGGCCUAUCAGAAGAAAGUUAUGCUAACCAUCAAAAUGAUACUCUCCUUAACUCAAACUUUAUAAAUGAAUCAGAUGAAGAAAUGGCAACUAUAAUAAAUAAACAAUGCCCUGGUUGGGCUACCUCUCAAACUCAUAAUCUAGUUAAUUUUGCCAAUCCAAUGUUCUAUACUAUAACCAAAGAAGAAAAGGAAAGGGAAGUUAAAUCAAGAGGAAAAGUAAAUAAGUCAUGAGUUUACAACUAAAACAAUUGUCCAGACCAGGUGUGGGGGCUCAUGCUUGUAAUCCCAGCACUUUGGGAGGCCAAGGUAGGUGGAUCACUUGAGUCCAGGGGUUCAAGAUCAGCCUGUGUGACAUGGCAAAAUCCCAUUUCUACAAAAUAAAAAUAAAAAUAAACAAUUGUCCAAUCAAUUUAUAACCCCUACACAACCUAAUAAUUUCCCAAACUGACCCAAAUGAACCACUUUUCAACUACUAAAAAAAGCCUGAACAUUUCAGAAAGGAUUGUAUAAUACUCACAUCUCCUUUCAAGAAGAGGGAUAUGCAUUUAGAAUUAGAAUAUAAAAUAGAAUUAUUACGUUCCAAAAAAUGUUCAAAACCUGAUCAUUUUAAAUCAUAAAUUGCAAUUCAUAUUGUCACAGAGGAAACUAAAUUGGUAAAUAAUUAAAAAUUAUAAGAGCUGUUAAAAGUAGUAUCUGAUCUCACAGGGCCAGGUGGCUCAUUCCUAUAAUCGCAGCACUGUAGGAGCUCAAGGCAGGUAGAUCACUUGAGGCCAGGAGUUAGAGACCAGCCUGGCCAACAUGGCAAAACCCCAUCUUUACUAAAAACGCAAAAAUUAGCCAGGCGUGGUGAUGCAUGCCUGUAAUCCCAGCUACUUGGACGAUUGAGGCAUGAGAAUCACUUGAACCUAGGAAGUCGAGGUUGCAAUGAGCUGAGAUCAUGCCACUGCACUCCAGUCUGGGUGACAAAGUGAGACCCUGUCUCAAAAAAAAAAAAAAUAGUAAUAUCUGAUCUCUUUGGUUUUGGGGAACCAAGGAUUACUUUGUGCUGUGAGAGAGAACUUGACUUCAGUGUAUGCAGUGUCUGACAAGCCACUGCAAAAGCUGCAGUUUGGGGAGUGGCUGACAAUGGUCUCAGUGAAUGCUUGUUAAUGCAGAGUGCUACUUAUUUCUUUGUGCACUUAGGUAAAAAGGCGGGUUUGAACAUUUGGAGGUUGUGGGGACACUUGCCACCAAGAGAUAAGACUCCUGACAGGGAAGGGCUGAUCACAGAAGGGGCUGAUCGGCAUCAUUUCACCCGCCAGCAACAAAGGAAUGUCUUCAUGGUGAAAGGCACUGUGGAAGCAUUGCAUGGCCCAGUCCCAGGGGAUUUCCUUUUAUUAGGGGACCUGGGAUUGUAAAAGUGGGAUCCUUGAUUUUUUGUUUGUUUGUUUUUGAGACAGAGUCUCACUCUGUCACCCAGGCUGGAGUGCAGUGGCACGAUCUUGGCUCACUGCAACCUCCGUCUCCCGGGUUCAAGUGAUUCUCCUGCCUCAGCCUCCCGAGUAGCUGGGACUACAGGUGUGUACCACCACACCCAGUUAUUUUUUUGUAUUUUUAGUACAGAUGGGCUUCACCAUGUUAGCCAGGAAGGUCUCGAUCUCCUGACCUUGUGAUCCGCCUACCUCGGCCUCCCAAAGUGUUGGGAUUACAGGUGUGAGCCACCACACCCGGCCAGAGAUCCUUGAUUUUUAAAGAUCUAGAUGUGCUGCAUUCCAGCUGUGCCUGCUUUUCAUAUAUUUAAAUAUUAGGCCCUGGUAACUGCAAAGGCUUUCUUUGUUUGCCUUGUUCAUUAAAGGGCUCCACCUUGAAGUCAGUAAUCUAAUCAAGAGACAAAUUAAGUGGAAAAGAACACCUAUCUAACCAGAUUGGUAUCCAAAAUACAAUGUUCUUAGCUGGCUAUACUGAAACUUUUUGUAAAAUAAAUCUACAUCUAUAAAGGAAACCUCCAUUUGUAAGGACAUCUCCCUCACUGUACCUAAACCACUAGAAACUUUUGGGAAAACAUUAGUUUAAAGUUUACAUGACAAAUCUUGCCUUUAUUUAAGAUACUUAACAUAGGCCUUUACCUAUGCCCUUCUUUGUCUCAGCAAAUAAUGGUGUUUACAUCUAACUUCUGUGUCUUUAAAUAAAAAUUCUCACAUAAGAGUCAUGUCUUUAAAAGUACAAAUUUAGGGUUGCCUAGCUAAUAUUGUUUAGAGCUUGAUUGUUUAUAGAUGGUAGAAAAACCAUUUGAUAAUUGGCCUAAAAAGGAUGUUAUGAAGCUGUAAAAUAUACUUCUGUGUGUAUGUCUAUAUGUUUAUAAGUGUCAUGUAUGUGAUAUUUCCUUACAAAGAUAUAUGAAAAAGCUCUAAUCAUUGGCUUUUAAAAAGUAAACACUUAAAUAUUUAAUCAGAAAAAUAGAAACAAACUCAAAUGCCUUUAGUUUACAUGACUUGGGUAAAUGCUUAGUAAAUAAGACUAGUUUAAUAUUGUUGGUUUAAUGAAAACAGCUGUGUCUUCUAAUCAACAAACUAUGCAUGUAUUUAACUUUAGGGUUCCUGCUUAGGUGGCAAAUACCUAACAUUCACAAGCUGUAAAAAUGAUUAACUAAUAAAUAGCUUGAGAUAAUAGCUAGCUUUGUUUAAUGAACUAUUCAAGCAUAAUUGUUAAAGAUGAAUAAAUUAGGCCAGUUGUGGUGGCUCAUGCCUGUAAUCCCAGCACUUUGGAAAGCCAAGGCAGGUGGAUCACCUGAGAUCAGGAGUUUGAGACCAGCCUGGGCAACAUGGUGAAACUCCAUCUCUACUGAAAAUACAAAAUUAGCCAGGCAUGGUGGCACAUGCCUGUAAUCACAGCUACUUGGGAGGUUGAGGCAAGAGAA
rnacentral:lncRNA from 1 species